rnacentral:rRNA from 1 species
UACGUAGGGUGCAGGCGUUAAUCGGAAUUACUGGGCGUAAAGCGUGCGCAGGCGGUUUGUUAAGUCAGAUGUGAAAGCCCCGGGCUUAACCUGGGAACUGCGUUUGAAACUGGGAGACUUGAGUGUGGCAGAGGGGGGUGGAAUUCCACGUGUAGCAGUGAAAUGCGUAGAUAUGUGGAGGAACACCGAUGGCGAAGGCAGCCCCCUGGGCUAACACUGACGCUCAUGCACGAAAGCGUGGGGAGCAAACAGG